rnacentral:tRNA from 1 species
AAGGCCAUAGUCAAUAUGUAUGACGUAUGAGUUGCAUUCAUAAAGAGUUUUUCAACUGGCUUUA